rnacentral:rRNA from 1 species
UACGGAGGGGGCUAGCGUUGUUCGGAAUUACUGGGCGUAAAGCGCGCGUAGGCGGUUUUGUAAGUUAGAGGUGAAAGCCCGGGGCUCAACCCCGGAACUGCCUUUAAGACUGCAUCGCUUGAAUCCAGGAGAGGUGAGUGGAAUUCCGAGUGUAGAGGUGAAAUUCGUAGAUAUUCGGAAGAACACCAGUGGCGAAGGCGGCUCACUGGCCUGGUAUUGACGCUGAGGUGCGAAAGCGUGGGGAGCAAACAGG